UGUCCAGUAGCACCUUGGAGACCAACUAAGUUUGUUCUGGCUAUAAGCUUUCGUGCGCAGUAUCUGAAGAAGUGUGCAUGCACACAAUAGCUUAUACCCAGAACAAACUUAGUUGGUCUCUAAGGUGCUACUGGACA